UACGUAGGGUGCGAGCGUUGUCCGGAAUUAUUGGGCGUACAGAGCUUGUAGGCGGUUUGUCGCGUCUGCUGUGAAAAUCCGGGGCUCAACCCCGGACUUGCAGUGGGUACGGGCAGACUAGAGUGUGGUAGAGGAGACUGGAAUUCCUGGUGUAGCGGUGAAAUGCGCAGAUAUCAGGAGGAACACUGAUGGCGAAGGCAGGUCUCUGGGCCACUACUGACGCUGAGAAGCGAAAGCAUGGGGAGCGAACAGG
rnacentral:rRNA from 1 species